GACGAACGCUGGCGGCGUGCUUAACACAUGCAAGUCGAACGAUGAAGCUGGAGCUUGCUCCGGUGGAUUAGUGGCGAACGGGUGAGUAACACGUGAGCAAUCUGCCCUUGACUCUGGGAUAACUGCGGGAAACUGUAGCUAAUACCGGAUACGAGGCUCGAAGGCGUCUUCGGGUCUGGAAAGAAUUUCAGUCAAGGAUGAGCUCGCGGCCUAUCCGCUUGUUGGUGAGGUAAUGGCUCACCAAGGCGACGACGGGUAGCCGGCCUGAGAGGGGGACCGGCCACACUGGGACUGAGACACGGCCCAGACUCCUACGGGAGGCAGCAGUGGGGAAUAUUGCACAAUGGGGGCAACCCUGAUCCAGCCAUUCCGCGUGAGUGAAGAAGGCCUUCGGGUUGUAAAGCUCUUUCGGCAGGAACGAAACGGCCAUUACUAAUACUAGUGGUCAAUGACGGUACCUGAAGAAGAAGCACCGGCUAAC
rnacentral:rRNA from 1 species